rnacentral:rRNA from 1 species
AUUGAACGCUGGCGGCAGGCCUAACACAUGCAAGUCGAGCGGAUGAAGGGAGCUUGCUCCUGGCUUCAGCGGCGGACGGGUGAGUAAUGCCUAGGAAUCUGCCUGGUAGUGGGGGAUAACGUCCGGAAACGGGCGCUAAUACCGCAUACGUCCUGAGGGAGAAAGUGGGGGAUCUUCGGACCUCACGCUAUCAGAUGAGCCUAGGUCGGAUUAGCUAGUUGGUGGGGUAAAGGCCUACCAAGGCGACGAUCCGUAACUGGUCUGAGAGGAUGAUCGGUCACACUGGAACUGAGACACGGUCCAGACUCCUACGGGAGGCAGCAGUAGGGAAUAUUGGACAAUGGGCGAAAGCCUGAUCCAGCCAUGCCGCGUGAGUGAAGAAGGUCUUCGGAUUGUAAAGCACUUUAAGUUGGGAGGAAGGGCAGUAAGUUAAUACCUUGCUGUUUUGACGUUACCAACAGAAUAAGCACCGGCUAACUUCGUG